UCCCAUGUGGCUCAGUUGGUAGAGCAUGGCACUUGCAAUGCCAGGGUUGUGGGUUUGAUUCCCACAGGGGAC
rnacentral:tRNA from 1 species